GUGGGGAAUAUUGCGCAAUGGGGGGAACCCUGACGCAGCAACGCCGCGUGCAGGAAGAAGGUCUUCGGAUUGUAAACUGUUGUCGCAAGGGAAGAAGACAGUGACGGUACCUUGUGAGAAAGUCACGGCUAACUACGUGCCAGCAGCCGCGGUAAUACGUAGGUGACAAGCGUUGUCCGGAUUUACUGGGUGUAAAGGGCGCGUAGGCGGACUGUCAAGUCAGUCGUGAAAUACCGGGGCUUAACCCCGGGGCUGCGAUUGAAACUGACAGCCUUGAGUAUCGGAGAGGAAAGCGGAAUUCCUAGUGUAGCGGUGAAAUGCGUAGAUAUUAGGAGGAACACCAGUGGCGAAGGCGGCUUUCUGGACGACAACUGACGCUGAGGCGCGAAAGUGUGGGGAGCAAACAGG
rnacentral:rRNA from 1 species